CACACUGGGACUGAGACACGGCCCAGACUCCUACGGGAGGCAGCAGUGGGGAAUCUUGCGCAAUGGGCGAAAGCCUGACGCAGCAACGCCGCGUGGGGGAUGAAUGCCUUCGGGUUGUAAACCCCUUUCAGUGGGAACGAAAUUGACGGUACCCACAGAAGAAGCCCCGGCCAACUACGUGCCAGCAGCCGCCGUAAAAC
rnacentral:rRNA from 1 species